rnacentral:rRNA from 1 species
GAGUAACACGUGGGUAACCUGCCUGUAAGACUGGGAUAACUCCGGGAAACCGGGGCUAAUACCGGAUGGUUGUUUGAACCGCAUGGUUCAAACAUAAAAGGUGGCUUCGGCUACCACUUACAGAUGGACCCGCGGCGCAUUAGCUAGUUGGUGAGGUAACGGCUCACCAAGGCAACGAUGCGUAGCCGACCUGAGAGGGUGAUCGGCCACACUGGGACUGAGACACGGCCCAGACUCCUACGGGAGGCAGCAGUAGGGAAUCUUCCGCAAUGGACGAAAGUCUGACGGAGCAACGCCGCGUGAGUGAUGAAGGUUUUCGGAUCGUAAAGCUCUGUUGUUAGGGAAGAACAAGUACCGUUCGAAUAGGGCGGUACCUUGACGGUACCUAACCAGAAAGCCACGGCUAACUACGUGCCAGCAGCCGCGGUAAUACGUAGGUGGCAAGCGUUGUCCGGAAUUAUUGGGCGUAAAGGGCUCGCAGGCGGUUUCUUAAGUCUGAUGUGAAAGCCCCCGGCUCAACCGGGGAGGGUCAUUGGAAACUGGGGAACUUGAGUGCAGAAGAGGAGAGUGGAAUUCCACGUGUAGCGGUGAAAUGCGUAGAGAUGUGGAGGAACACCAGUGGCGAAGGCGACUCUCUGGUCUGUAACUGACGCUGAGGAGCGAAAGCGUGGGGAGCGAACAGGAUUAGAUACCCUGG